CGGGCAGGUGGUUUGUUAAGUCUUCUGUGGAACUCCGGGGCUCAACCCCGGACAUGCAGAAGAUACUGGCAGACUGGAGUAUGGUAGAGGCAAGCGGAAUUCCUGGUGUAGCGGUGGAAUGCGUAGAUAUCAGGAAGAACACCUGUGGCGAAGGCGGCUUGCUGGGCCAUUACUGACACUCAUCCGCGAAAGCGUGGGGAGCAAACA
rnacentral:rRNA from 1 species